rnacentral:sRNA from 1 species
GUAUCGAUAUGGUGCUCCUGGGGGAGCCUGGGACCACCAGGUUGACCAAGGAGGGGUGCACCGGCCCAGGUCGGAGACGGAGCAGGUCAAAACCCCCGUACCGCUCAGUAGUGGGAUCACACCUGAGAAUCGAUGCUGCCAGUUCAGCCUGAGUAAAACAGAGACUCAGUCUUUUAU